rnacentral:rRNA from 1 species
CAGUAGCCACGGUAAUACAGAGGGUGCGAGCGUUAAUCGGAUUUACUGGGCGUAAAGCGUGCGUAGGCGGCUUUUUAAGUCGGAUGUGAAAUCCCUGAGCUUAACUUAGGAAUUGCAUUCGAUACUGGGAAGCUAGAGUAUGGGAGAGGAUGGUAGAAUUCCAGGUGUAGCGGUGAAAUGCGUAGAGAUCUGGAGGAAUACCGAUGGCGAAGGCAGCCAUCUGGCCUAAUACUGACGCUGAGGUACGAAAGCAUGGGGAGCAAACAGGAUUAGAGACCCCAGUAGUCCCUGUCUCUUAUAC